rnacentral:lncRNA from 1 species
CUUCACUAAGGAGAGGUGCAGUCUGUGUCCCCGUCCUUGACUCUGAGAAUCCCUGUGAUCAACAGAAUGCAGAAAAGUGACACUGCAUGGCUUCUGAGGCUAGGUCCAGAAAAGGUGAUGCAGCUUCCCCCUUUGCGCUGAAAUGCAGUGCUUGGACCUCAGAGCUAUUGACUAAGAAGUCCAUGCACCCUGAGCUUCUCAUGCUGGGGAAGCCACGUGUAGGCAUUCAGUUCCCAGCCCAGCUGAGCUCCAUCCUGGCUGCAACAAUUGUUCUCAUGAGGAAGCCAUCUUGGACACUCAGCUCCAUGGAGCCUCCACGAGUCGCCAGCCCCAACUGACAUCUGUCUCACUGCAACCACAGAAGAGCCUCCAACCAAGAACUGCACAGCUGAACCCUUUCUAAAUUCUUGAUCUCCAAAAAGCCAUGCACAAAAUAAAAUGGUUGUUUUGAG